rnacentral:other from 1 species
CGAGUCCUGAUGUGUGCGUUGUUCUACCUAACAGUUUUGACCGAACACUUUGAACAACGGGAGUUUGAGUUUCCAGACGGCGUACAUGCCUCCAUGAGGACUUACAAAGCCUGGAGCAGAACACCCACCUGCCGAGAGCGGGUUCAAAACGAAGGAUUUUAUCCGACGGCACAAUUGGGACCUCG